rnacentral:tRNA from 1 species
GGGCGGGUAGCUCAGCUGGGAGAGCGUCGGCCUUACAAGCCGAAUGUCGCAGGUUCGAUCCCUGUCCUGCCCA